rnacentral:rRNA from 1 species
GUGAGGAAUUUUCCGCAAUGGGCGAAAGCCUGACGGAGCAAUGCUGCGUGAAGGAUGAAGGCCUAUGGGUUGUAAACUUCUUUUCUCAGAAAAGAAUUAUGACGGUAUCUGAGGAAUAAGCAUCGGCUAACUCUGUGCCAGCAGCCGCGGUAAGACAGAGGAUGCAAGCGUUAUCCGGAAUGAUUGGGCGUAAAGCGUCUGUAGGUUGUUUAAAAAGUAUUCUGUCAAAGAUUAGGGCUUAACCCUAGAUAGGCAGAAUAAACUUUUAAGCUAGAGUUUGGUAGAGGCAGAGGGAAUUCCCGGUGGAGCGGUGAAAUGCGUAGAUAUCGGGAGGAACACCAAAGGCGAAGGCACUCUGCUGGGCCAAUACUAACACUGAGAGACGAAAGCGAGGGGAGCAAAUGGGAUUAGAAACCCUGGUAGUCC